UGCUCGGAAUUACUGGGCGGAAAGGGCGCGUAGGCGGCACUGUUAGUCAGGCGUGAAAUUCCUGGGCUCAACCUGGGGACUGCGCUUGAUACGGCAGAGCUUGAGGAUGGAAGAGGGUCGCGGAAUUCCUGGUGUAGCGGUGAAAUGCGUAGAUAUCAGGAGGAACACCUGUGGUGUAGACGGCUUACUGGACCAUGACUGACGCUGAGGCACGAAAGCGUGGGGAGCAAACAGG
rnacentral:rRNA from 1 species